GGAAUGGGUAUAGCUCAGUGGUUGAGCAUGUGCUUUGCAUGUACAAGGUCCCAGGUUCAAUCCCUGGUACCUCUU
rnacentral:tRNA from 1 species